rnacentral:rRNA from 1 species
GGUUAAGCGACUAAGCGUACACGGUGGAUGCCCUGGCAGUCAGAGGCGAUGAAGGACGUGCUAAUCUGCGAUAAGCGCCGGUAAGGUGAUAUGAACCGUUAUAACCGGCGAUUUCCGAAUGGGGAAACCCAGUGUGACUCGUCACACUAUCAUUAACUGAAUCCAUAGGUUAAUGAGGCGAACCGGGGGAACUGAAACAUCUAAGUACCCCGAGGAAAAGAAAUCAACCGAGAUUCCCCCAGUAGCGGCGAGCGAACGGGGAGGAGCCCAGAGCCUGAAUCAGCAUGUGUGUUAGUGGAAGCGUCUGGAAAGGCGCGCGAUACAGGGUGACAGCCCCGUACACAAAAGCGCAUAUGCUGUGAGCUCGAUGAGUAGGGCGGGACACGUGGUAUCCUGUCUGAAUAUGGGGGGACCAUCCUCCAAGGCUAAAUACUCCUGACUGACCGAUAGUGAACCAGUACCGUGAGGGAAAGGCGAAAAGAACCCCGGCGAGGGGAGUGAAAAAGAACCUGAAACCGUGUACGUACAAGCAGUGGGAGCCCCACCACUAAGCCAGUGGUGAACUCCACAUACGCAUCCUUUGCUGAGGAUACGGUUAACGGAGCGAAAGCGACGUUCAACCGCAAAAGAAGCAGAGGGGGCUUAGUGGUGGGGUGACUGCGUACCUUUUGUAUAAUGGGUCAGCGACUUAUAUUCUGUAGCAAGGUUAACCGAAUAGGGGAGCCGGAGGGAAACCGAGUCUUAAU